rnacentral:rRNA from 1 species
AGGUUGAAGGUGCGGUAACACGCACUGGAGGACCGAACCGGUGAAUGUUGAAAAAUUCUCGGAUGAGCUGUGUUUAGGGGUGAAAGGCCAAUCAAGCCGGGAAAUAGCUGGUUCUCCGCGAAAUCUAUUGAGGUAGAGCGUCGGAUGUAUGCCGAUGGGGGUAGAGCACUGGAUGGGCUAGGGCUGCGCGAGCGGUACCAAACCUAACCAAACUCCGAAUACCAUCGAGUCUUAUCCGGCAGACAGACGGCGGGUGCUAAGGUCCGUCGUCAAAAGGGAAACAGCCCUAACCUACAGCUAAGGUCCCCAAGUCAUAUCUAAGUG